GGCGAGUGAAGCGGCAACAGCUCAAAUUUGAAAUCUGGCUCUUUCAGAGUCCGAGUUGUAAUUUGCAGAGGGCGCUUUGGCUUUGGCAGCGGUCCAAGUUCCUUGGAACAGGACGUCACAGAGGGUGAGAAUCCCGUACGUGGUCGCUAGCUAUUGCCGUGUAAAGCCCCUUCGACGAGUCGAGUUGUUUGGGAAUGCAGCUCUAAAUGGGAGGUAAAUUUCUUCUAAAGCUAAAUAUUGGCCAGAGACCGAUAGCGCACAAGUAGAGUGAUCGAAAGAUGAAAAGCACUUUGGAAAGAGAGUCAAACAGCACGUGAAAUUGUUGAAAGGGAAGCGCUUGCAGCCAGACUUGCUUGCAGUUGCUCAUCCGGGCUUUUGCCCGGUGCACUCUUCUGCAGGCAGGCCAGCAUCAGUUUGGGCGGUGGGAUAAAGGUCUCUGUCACGUUCCUUCCUUCGGGUUGGCCAUAUAGGGGAGACGUCAUACCACCAGCCUGGACUGAGGUCCGCGCAUCUGCUAGGAUGCUGGCGUAAUGGCUGUAAGCGGCCCGUCUUGAAACACGGACCAAGGAGUCUAACAUCUAUGCGAGUGUUUGGGUGUCAAGCCCGAGCGCGUAAUGAAAGUGAACGGAGGUGGGAACCCGCAAGGGCGCACCAUCGACCGAUCCUGAAGUUUACGGAAGGAUUUGAGUAAGAGCAUGGCUGUUGGGACCCGAAAGAUGGUGAACUAUGCUUGAAUAGGGUGAAGCCAGAGGAAACUCUGGUGGAGGCUCGCAGCGGUUCUGACGUGCAAAUCGAUCGUCAAAUUUGG
rnacentral:rRNA from 1 species